rnacentral:lncRNA from 1 species
CAAAGCUGAAAUACGUUGCAAGCUCUACUAUUUUAAGGUUAUUUAAAAAAUUCUCAUCCUUUUUUAAAGGGUGAAGAAUGAUUUCUAAGGUAGCCAAGCAAAGAAAGAAUUCAGCCUUCUUUACUACAUUCAACCUAACCUACCCAAGCCUAGAGAUACAGAAACAUCUCCCAGACUCUGACAGCAGAAACAACAUCAAGCAUAAGCAACUAACCCAAAUGGAUGGAUUCCAGCUAGAAAUGCAGCAGCACUCUACAUCCUCAGGAGACAUCAGGAAAAUCCCGAGGAGCUCAGACUAAGUUUGGGAACUCAAUUUUGAAGGAAACCAUAAUGGAUAGCAUACCAGACCUGAGGACUGAUGAGAUGGCCUCACUGAUUUCCCCAUUCUUGUUGAUGUCAGACUGAAGGCUUGAUGCAGCCACAUAAUGAGGGAGACCUUGCCUUCUCUGUCAGAUGCUGCAGACUGUGUACUAUUCGUCCAUCUGAAGGCAAGAAACGCCAGUGGCUUAGGCAUUGAGAUGCAACUAUAUUAGUAACCUUUCCUUUCAAGUCCUACCUACCAAGACUACCAUAGAUUGAUCAGAGAUCUUGUGUCUUUACUACAGAGACCUGGUCCUCAGACCCCUACUUACCAGAGCCCAUUUACAGAAGCCCAGAAGGUAGCAGUGGGCUGAUGAUUUGUUUGGUGUUUUCUUAAAUAUCACAAUGUUUUCUGUGUGGCUGGGUGGUACAAUGGAAAAGGUAUUGGACUUAGAGUGAGGACAAUAUGAGUUAAAAACCUGCCUCAGACAUUUAUUAACUGUGUAAGCC